GGAGUCAUCUUUUUAGACCCAGCACCAGGUUAAAUAAAUCACGUUAAAAGUGAUAUAUUUUCACAUUCCAGUAAUGAUCUGGUGGGACCGCCGGGUGGGAAACUCAACCCUGCCAAACCUUCACUUCUCUGGAAAAAAAGGACUGCGUUACUGUCGAGAAAUUACCCAGCUCUCCUGGGAAGUUCACAGUGUAUUUUAUCUCUUUGAUUUCUUUCCUCAAAACAAUUUCAGCUCAUUCUUUCCUUGGCCGCUGCAGCGCUGUUGUUAUUGAGAACACUGUUAACUCAGCUCAGCACUCAAAUUGAUUUGACAAACAACGAGCAUGUGAGUCACAGAUGAAAUUUCCCACCUUGGCGGCGCUCCGGGCCCCUUCGUUCCUCGACGGUUUGGGCUGUAAUGGAUGCAGUUAUGACUGUGAUGAGGAGGGAAAAAAACCUGACAAAGUCCAAACUUUCCCUCUGAACUUUUUUAACUGUCCUCACCUGCUCAGUUCCCCUGCCGUCUCCCAUUAAUGGAGAUGUUGUCACAGACGCAGCCUUGUAAAACCUAAACUUAAUCAACCAUCACAUUGCUUAGUUCAAAGGUGCACUCUGAACUGUCUCUGUCUCAGUCAGUGUGAGUCAGAUCUGUGAGUUUUAGGUAAUACAAACAUCAGCACUUCAGCAGCUGGUUAGAGUCAAGUCUCAAUACUGAAGCUGGAAAUUCCCAAGACAAUUCAAAUAAAAGAGCAACAGAAUCUGAGAAGCUUAAGUGGAAAAACAUCUAUUUCUUUCAUUUUGAAAAUCAGGUUUUGAUGAUGUGUUUUGAAUUUCUGGCUCCUAUAAAUGGAUUUUCUUUUCACCAGUGAGACCCUUUGUUUAAAAGCCCUGUACACCUGCACAGGUGUUUUCACUUAUUCAGCCUGAUUAGAGUGCUGCUAGGCUGGGAGAGGGCUGAGCUCUGCUGGAAAUUAAACAGGUUCACCAAAACUCUUAUGAAGCACAAAUAAUAUUUUCAUUAUUAUUCAUGCAUUCACAAGUUAUCUGCAGUUUAAUGCUGUAGCAGGUGGAGUUUAACACUUGGAAACGCUGAGAAUAAUGUUGCCAUAGAUUCAGUAAGUUAAGCUGCCGGAUACAACUGGAGUCCUAUUUUUGGCCUAUAUUUAUUUACAUUUUGAACAAUUAAGUAUGCCGAAUUUGCUAUUAGCAGUUUUUGUUUGCAAUUUACCAUCGGGUUUACAAACAACUACAACUGGAUUAUUUUGAUACUGAAGAAAAUUUCAAAAUCGGAUGAUUCUCAGGCAAAUUCUGCAGCGACAUGGUGUGGUUGUUCUUCCCUGUCAUUUCUGAACAGGAUUGUGGACGUUUAUACGCAAUGGACACGAGAGAUAUCGUCACCAAGUCUGGAGACAGAUCUGGGCGAUUAAAGGAAUUAAAGGAAAGGAUUAAAGUUUGAUGCUGAACUUCUCAUGUCUGUCUUCUAAAUUGCUGGAGACAGCUCUUGGCGAGGAAAGGAAUGAAGUUUGAUGCUGAACUCACAACAUUUCUUCUGGAAUGG